rnacentral:rRNA from 1 species
ACCCGCUGAAUUUAAGCAUAUAACUAAGCGGAGGAAAAGAAACUAACCAGGAUUCCCCCAGUAACGGCGAGUGAAGCGGGAAGAGCUCACGUUGUAAAUCUGACUUUCGGGUCCGAAUUGUAGUCUGGAGAGGCGUGACCAGCUGGAGACGGGGGCGAAGUCUCUUGGAAAAGAGCAUCAAGGAGGGUGACAAUCCCGUUCUUGCCCCCACUCUCCACGCGUACGGUCCGUUUUCUACGAGUCGAGUUGCUUGGGAUUGCAGCUCAAAGCGGGUGGUAAAUUCCAUCUAAAGCUAAACACGGGUGGGAGACCGAUAGCGAACAAGUACCGUGAGGGAAAGAUGCAAAGAACUUUGAAAAGAGAGUUAAAGAGUGCCUGAAAUUGCUGAAAGGGAAGCGAAGGAAACCAGUGUCUGGCGCUUACGUUUCUCCUCCGCCCCUCGGGGCUCUGGUUUGCGUUUGUGUCGUGGCCAGGGCUGGGUAGCGUUGCGGGAGCCUGCGCCUUGGAAGGUAGCAUAUCUUCGGAUUGUGAAUACCUCGGCGUGUCGUCGCGACGCUGGCCGGUUCUGACGAAAUGGUUUUCUUUACCCCGUCUUGAAACACGGACCAAGGAGUCUAACAUGCCCGCGAGUACAGGGGUGUUCAAACCCCCGUGCGCAGUGAAAGUGAAUGCAGGUGGGAAGCCGCRAGGUGGCACCAUCGACCGACCAUGUCUCUUCGGGGGCGAGGUUUGAGUGUGAGCGUGCAUGUUGGGACCCGAAAGAUGGUGAACUAUGCCUGAAUAGGGCGAACGAGGGGAAACUCUGGUGGAGGCUCGUAGCGAUUCUGACGUGCAAAUCGAUCGUGAGAUUUGGGUAUAGGGGCGAAAGACUAAUCGAACCAUCUAGUAGCUGGUUCCCUCCGAAAUUUCCCUCAGGAUAGCUGCAACCUGCGUUCAGUUUUAUCAGGUAAAGCGAAUG